rnacentral:rRNA from 1 species
AGAGUUUGAUCCUGGCUCAGGACGAACGCUGGCGGCGUGCUUAACACAUGCAAGUCGAACGGUGAUCUUGAGAGCUUGCUCUUGGGUGAUCAGUGGCGAACGGGUGAGUAACACGUGAGCAACCUGCCCCAGACUCUGGAAUAACCCCGGGAAACCGGAGCUAAUACCGGAUACGACACUGGCCCGCAUGGGUAUGGUGUGGAAAGUUUUUCGGUCUGGGAUGGGCUCGCGGCCUAUCAGCUUGUUGGUGAGGUAACGGCCCACCAAGGCGACGAUCCGUAGCUGGUCUGAGAGGACGACCAGCCACACCGGAACUGAGACACGGUCCGGACUCCUACGGGAGGCAGCAGUGGGGAAUAUUGGACAAUGGGGGAAACCCUGAUCCAGCGACGCCGCGUGUGUGAAGAAGGCCUGCGGGUUGUAAAGCACUUUUAGUGGGGACGAAAAGCUUCGGGAUAAUAUUCCGGGGUCUCGACUUAACCCAAAGAAAAAGCACCGGCUAACUCUGUGCCAGCCGCCGCGGUAAUUC